GCCUCUGUGGCUCAGUUGGUUGAGCAUCAACUUAUGAACUGGGAGGCCAAAGUUCGAUUCUUGGUCAGGGACA
rfam:Myotis davidii contig120037, whole genome shotgun sequence.